UACGGAGGGGGCAAGCGUUAUCCGGAUUCACUGGGUUUAAAGGGUGCGUAGGUGGGUCUGUAAGUCAGUGGUGAAAUCUCCGGGCUUAACCCGGAAACUGCCAUUGAUACUAUAGGUCUUGAAUUUUCUGGAGGUUAGCGGAAUAUGUCAUGUAGCGGUGAAAUGCUUAGAUAUGACAUAGAACACCAAUUGCGAAGGCAGCUAACUACAGGGAUAUUGACACUGAGGCACGAAAGCGUGGGGAUCAAACAGG
rnacentral:rRNA from 1 species